rnacentral:rRNA from 1 species
AAACUUUACAAUGCCGGCAACGGCGAUAAGGGGACCUCGAGUGCCAGGAUACAAUCUUGGCUGUCGUGAUGCCUAAAAAGCAUUGCAUAGCAAGGGCCGGGCAAGACCGGUGCCAGCCGCCGCGGUAACACCGGCGGCUCGAGUGGUAACCGCUAUUAUUGGGUCUAAAGGGUCUGUAGCCGGCCGGAUAAGUCUCUUGGGAAAUCCAGCAGCUCAACUGUUGGGCUUUCAGGAGAUACUGUUCGGCUCGAGGCCGGGAGAGGUGAGAGGUACUUCAGGGGUAGGGGUGAAAUCUUGUAACCCUUGAAGGACCACCAGUGGCGAAGGCGUCUCACCAGAACGGUCCUGACGGCAAGGGACGAAAGCUAGGGGCACGAACCGGAUUAGAUACCCGGGUAGUCCUAGCCGUAAACGAUACUCGCUAGGUGUCAGCCACGGUGCGACCGUGGUUGGUGCCGUAGGGAAGCCGUGAAGCGAGCCACCUGGGAAGUACGGCCGCAAGGCUGAAACUUAAAGGAAUUGGCGGGGGAGCACUACAACGGGUGGAGCCUGCGGUUU